AGGAUUUCAUCCCUCGUUUUUUCAAUUCAUCCAUAACACCCAUUUUUUCCUCUCCAGCCUUAUUAAAAGCUGUAACAUGCUUAUGAUACACGACUGUUUUGCCUUCAACUGAUUGUGGAUUCUUUACAUUGGCAAGCAAAACAGGGCCAUGACAGACUGCCGAUAAAACACCACCAUUUGUAAACACUUCUCUUGCUACCGCCUGUAAAUUCGUGGCUUUGGGUAAGUCAAACAUCGCAGCAUGCCCACCUGCCACAAAUAAAAGCUGAUAGUCUUUUCCAACUAUGUCCGAAGCCUUUUUCAUAUUGUUAAGAUUAGUCCAAAAAUCGUCGUUUUUAUCAUUAAAUACUUUUCUUUCAAAGUCCCCUAAUUUUGACUCCUCAAUGGAAUGAUCGUCAAAUUUGUAAGAGCCAUUUUCUGAAACGAAUUGCACGUUAAAACCUGCUUUUUUGAAAACAUUGUAAGGGAUUAAAAGCUCUGAAAAAUGGACUCCAGUGUUUUUACCAUCUGGAUAAAAUGGGCCAUAAUAACUGCUGGCAACAAGCAAUGCAUUUUUUCCUUUUGCAAUAGACAUUAGGGAAAGAUAGUCUGUAGAAAUAGAUGAAAGCCAAGCAAACAAACAAAUAAUAGAAUAAAAAUGAUCG